GAGCAUGUGGUUUAAUUUGAUGCAACGCGAAGACCUUACCUGGUCUUGACAUCCACAGAACUUAGCAGAGAUGCUUUGGUGCCUUCGGGAACUGUGAGACAGGUGCUGCAUGGCUGUCGUCAGCUCGUGUUGUGAAAUGUUGGGUUAAGUCCCGCAACGAGCGCAACCCUUAUCCUUUGUUGCCAGCGGUUCGGCCGGGAACUCAAAGGAGACUGCCAGUGAUAAACUGGAGGAAGGUGGGGAUGACGUCAAGUCAUCAUGGCCCUUACGACCAGGGCUACACACGUGCUACAAUGGCAUAUACAAAGAGAAGCGACCUCGCGAGAGCAAGCGGACCUCAUAAAGUAUGUCGUAGUCCGGAUUGGAGUCUGCAACUCGACUCCAUGAAGUCGGAAUCGCUAGUAAUCGUAGAUCAGAAUGCUACGGUGAAUACGUUCCCGGGCCUUGUACACACCGCCCGUCACACCAUGGGAGUGGGUUGCUAAAGACUUUC
rnacentral:rRNA from 1 species